rnacentral:rRNA from 1 species
UACGUAGGGGGCAAGCGUUGUCCGGAUUUAUUGGGCGUAAAGAGCGUGUAGGCGGCUUUGCAAGUCCGUUGUGAAAACUCGAGGCUCAACCUCGAGACGCCGGUGGAAACUGCAAAGCUAGAGUCCGGAAGAGGAGAGUGGAAUUCCUGGUGUAGCGGUGAAAUGCGCAGAUAUCAGGAAGAACACCCGUGGCGAAGGCGGCUCGCUGGGACGGUACUGACGCUGAGACGCGAAAGCGUGGGGAGCGAACAGG